rnacentral:rRNA from 1 species
GUAGGUGGCAAGCGUUGUCCGGAAUUAUUGGGCGUAAAGCGCGCGCAGGCGGUUCUUUAAGUCUGAUGUGAAAGCACGGCUCAACCGUGGAGGGUCAUUGGAAACUGGAGAACUUGAGUACAGAAGAGGAAAGCGGAAUUCCACGUGUAGCGGUGAAAUGCGUAGAGAUGUGGAGGAACACCAGUGGCGAAGGCGGCUUUCUGGUCUGUAACUGACGCUGAGGCGCGAAAGCGUGGGGAGCAAACAGGGAUUAGAUACCCUGGUAGUCCACGCCGUAAACGAUGAGUGCUAAGUGUUAGGGGGUUUCCGCCCCCUUAGUGCUGCAGCUAACGCAUUAAGCACUCCGCCUGGGGAGUACGGCCGCAAGGCUG